rnacentral:rRNA from 1 species
UGGGGAAUAUUGCACAAUGGGGGAAACCCUGAUGCAGCGACGCCGCGUGAGUGAAGAAGUAUUUCGGUAUGUAAAGCUCUAUCAGCAGGGAAGAAGAAGGACGGUACCUGAGUAAGAAGCCCCGGCUAACUACGUGCCAGCAGCCGCGGUAAUACGUAGGGGGCAAGCGUUAUCCGGAUUUACUGGGUGUAAAGGGAGCGUAGACGGCGAAGAAAGUCUGAAGUGAAAGCCCGCGGCUCAACCGCGGAAUGGCUUUGGAAACUUUUUUGCUGGAGUACCGGAGAGGUAAGCGGAAUUCCUAGUGUAGCGGUGAAAUGCGUAGAUAUUAGGAGGAACACCAGUGGCGAAGGCGGCUUACUGGACUGUAACUGACGUUGAGGCUCGAAAGCGUGGGGAGCAAACAGG